UCUGUCGCUCUCGGUCUCUUUCCUCCCCCCUCUGUUGCUCUCUGUCUCUUUCACUCACUCUCUCUCUCUCUCCCUCUAUUUUCCCAUUUCUCACUGUAAAUCACCACCGCCACUGAAUCACAGGUAUUUUUCUUUUUCUCUCUCUCUGUCGCUCUCGGUCUCUUUCCUCCCCCCCCUCUCUCUCUCUCUGUCUCUCCCUUUAUUUUUCCAUUUCUCACACUUCCUCUAGGGUUUUAUAUGAUUUUUUUUUUGUUUAAUUGUGUGUUGAUUUCUUAACUCAAAAUCCCAAAUUUUGUGUUCAUUUUGUGUUGAUUUCUCACACUUGCUAUAGGGUUUGAUUUCUAGACAUAAAUCCCAAAUUCAAGCUCAAAACUAAAAAUCCAAAACCUUAUCAUGUUAUAGUGGGUGGGACUGAAAUUGGAUCCAUGGACUGCAUGGGCAGACAAACCUCUUAUUAUUUCUUUGUUACUUAUCGGUGCAUGCUUUCUUAUGUGAGUUUCUUGCCUUACAAGCAGUGUUUAUUUAGGUAUUUUGCCAAUUCUGCAGUUUCAUUACUUGAUGGUUGAACUCAUUAAAAUUGGUGGACCUGUAGAUUUUCUCUCUUUAGUUGGUCCUAAAUUCUGCUAGUUGUGUAAAGUUCAAUUGAUAUUUUUUGAGUGUGUAAAUUUGUGAGUACUGAAGUGUGGUAAAUAUCUGAAUGAUUAGAGCAUAAAUUCUACGUCUGCUUAUAUUAAUUACAAGUCCAAGUUAGUGUAAAUAUACCAUUGGAACCUUUAAGGUUUGCAAUCAAGCCAUCGCUCUGCUUGCGUAAAUAUUUAAUUUGCUACCUUAUUUGACCUUUUGAAAAUCAUGCUCUUCAGUUAAGUGUUGGUUUUAAAAUUCAUAUUUAUGGAUUAUGGUUCUAUCUUCUUGGGAUGAUAUAUCCGAAUUUCAAGUUAAAUGCUACAUUAUGACAUUUGACUACAUACCCAUCGGUUCCUGUCACUGUAAAUGAUAUGGUUACUAAACGGUAUAUCCAAGCAAGCAACUUUGUUGUAAGCUAUUGCAAACUUAAAGUUUGGUUCUUAAUUUCAACCUUGUAAAAGCCAUACCUUCCAAAAGCAAUUGUUUUGAAGUUUCAAGUUAUUGUUGUAUAUGCAUGUUAGCUGCAAGCUCCUCAUUCUCCAGCAGCGAUUUCAAAUUAGUGAAGCAUGUGUGCCAGAUGUAAAUAGUAAGGUGAAUUGAAUAAUCGAUUCCCUAGGAUUCUUGCAAAACAUCCUAAAGGUUAUUAUUUUGGUUUAAGUGUCAGUAGUUAUUUUCUAUCCUAGAGUUGCACAUUGCUCUUAUGACCUUCUAUAUAUUUGGUUACUUGAGUGUAUAAUGGGUUUUUGGCAAGCGAGUCCCUAUUUGUGUUGUUCUGCUUUUGAUCUCACUUAAUUAUGUCAAUCACCUUUUCUUUUUCUUUUUUUCAAAAGGCCUGGUCAUAACGGGGUUCCUUGUAAGGAAGAACUACGGUAUCCCAUAAUCCUGCUUUUGCUGUUGCACCAUUGGCAUAAAUUUGUGCUUUGCUUAUAUUGUAGUUUCUUUUUAGAUUGUUGAAAAAGUCCAUAGUUGAUUAAUUUUUAAUUUAUUUAUUUCUGCGUGCUUACCAGUUAGGAAAGUGGUGCUCUUGAUCCUGAAAACAGUAAGUGCUAAUACUAAUUUACAUUGGCACCUCUAUGAUAGAAGAUUUAUUUAGUGCUCAUAUAUUCAUUUUAGUAUGAUGUUGAUUCUAAGUUCACCAAAAGGACAUGGUUUUACGGCUCACAACCCUCUUGCAAGGUUUAGAUGGUCAUCUUACUGUUUGACUUCGAAUAGGUUUUGAUGCUAAAUAUUAGUACACUUAGCAGCAAAGGACCUAGUGUUUGGAUACUCAGGUCCCGUUUGUUUGGGGUUAUAGGGAGGGGAUUAGGUUUGGUAGUGAGGAGGGGAUUGAGAAUGGGGUGUUUGUUUUGAGAGAUAGGGAGGGGAUUAGUAAUUCCUUAGUAUUAGUAAGGAGGAGGAAGGUGGAUUGGUAAGGAGGAGGUAUAGAUGGUAUUAGAAAAAUAGUGAGGGGAUUAAAAUUUUUUUUAUUUUUUAUAUAUUGAGAAUUUUUUUUUUAAAUAUAAUGUUUAAUUUUUUAUAUUUUUUUAUUUGUUUUAUUAUUUUAUAUAAAAAUAAUUUAUCAAUUCCUCACUAUUAUUCCCCUCACUAUCAAUCCCCUCCACUCUAUCUCUGAAAACAAACGGGGCCUAAUUUUCAUAAGGUAAGCACAUGUUUUCUAUGAAAUAUUCACUUUCUUGAAUUGAUUGGGAUUAGUCUCUGAAGAUGAGGUAAGUCACUGAAUUAUGAGCCCCAUCCAAUUUGUAUGAUCUGUAUGCUUGUUGCUAUAUUCAAUAAUUCAACUUACUUACAUUACUCACUUAUAAGCAUACUAGUUCAUGUUAUGUGACAGGGAACAUAGAAACAUAUGUGGGUGUAUAACAAAAGAAUGAAUUAUGAAAAAAAAAAAAAAAAAAAACUAGCUACUUUGUGAUCCAAGUAACACAAAAAAUUUCUAAAAUUUUGAUUAUUAAUUUAAUAAUCAACUUCUGUCCUACUAUUCUUUCAAGCACUAUUUGGGAUUCAUCUUAUAUACAAUCAGCUUACUUAACAUAUUUUUCCCCCCUCCUUAUUGGGGAAUCUUUUGUUUGUAAAAAUUGCUCCAAGUUCUCAUUUUACAUUUGUUUUUGUUAAGUUCCUGGUGUUUGGUGCAGUAUGUUGGGAGAAAGUGGCAAUUUCACAUUAUUGAAUAUUUGAUAGAACAUGACAGUUCUUGGUUUCUCUAGGACAUCUUAGACACCAUGCAUCAUUCUUUUUGGUUUUCCAUAAUAAUCAAGUCAGUACCAUUUUUCUCUUUAUGUUAAUUGACUGAGAACACCCAGUUGUUAAGCCAAAUAUUCAUGUCAGAAGUGCCUCAGAAUGGAAAAAUUGGAUUAUUGAUAUUUCAAAUAUAUAAUACAUUCUUUCAAGAGUUGAUUAUAUGACAGUCGACUGUUUUUCUGAUAUGCUUGCAAUCAAACUAACAAAUAUUUCUUUUAAAUCCUCACUAUACAUUUAAUUUUAUCUGGAAUGAUCAAAUACCUUUUUCUCAUACUAACUGAUAUUGUAUUAGGCUCAAUCCUAUUUUCUUAAGAUGCUCGGAACAGAGUAAUUUCUAAUUUCUAUUUGUUUCAAGCACUAUUUAAAUUAUUGGUGUUCAGGCUUUAAUGCAUCAUCCAAGUAAGUUUCUAGCAUAACCGCACUUAGCUUUGAAUCGAGUUCAUUAAGUUUUUGACUACAUGUCCUCAAUAUCUGUCACUAACUGCAGCUCCUCCAUAAUAAUAUGAACAACAAAUAGAUGAGGGCAACAAAUAGUCAAAAACUAUGGUGUACAACUUAGUAAAAAAAGGUCUUAAUUAACACAUGUGGGUUGGGAGUUGGAGUGAAAAAGACCUUAAACUUAGUCGAAAAAGGUCGUUAAUGCAAAACAGCCCCUGAAUCACUCUAUGGAUUCCACGGGUAGCUUUUUCGUGACAAAUAAGACUUGUAGGGAUAGAUGUGAUGUAAUUAGCACACAUAGGUUUGGAGCUGGAGUGAGAAACGCCUUAAACUUAGUCGAAAAAGGCCUUUCAGGGGGGUGAAAAUGCAAAACUGCCCCCGAAUCACCCUAUGGAUGUCACAGGUAGCUUUCUCAUGAAAAAUAGGACCUGUGGGGAUAAUUGUGAUGUAAUUAGUACACAUAGGUUAGGAUUUGGAGUGAAAAACACCUUAAACUUAGUCGAAAAAGGCCGUUCGGGGGGGACGAAAAUGCAAAACAGCCCCUGAACCACUCUAUGGAUGUCACGGGUAGCUUCUUUGUGACAAAUAGGACCUGUGGGGUCAUAUGAGAUGUAAUUAGCAUAUGUAGGUUGGAAGUUUGAGUAAAAAACGUCUUAAACUUAAUCAGAAAAGGCCGUUCUGGGGGUAAAAAUAUAAAACAGCCCCCGAACCACUCUAUGGAUGUCACGGGUGCUUCUUAGCUUACUUUUUAAGUAAGGCAUACCCAUACACACAAUGAACUACAACAAUUUUCAAACUUCCUCUCAAAUAAAAGUGACAAUGCCAUGUAUGUCCCUAAUUCAACAUAAGGUAGCAACCUUUACCAAACAUAUUCUCUCUGUCUUUUUAAAUUUUUUUUAAAUAUUUUUUAGGACACCAUUUUAUCAGCAACUCUAAAUAAGCACCUUCAAAUAACGUUAACAAUUUCAUUCUUUGAAUAAGAGCAUAUUUGGAUGUGUUGUGAACAAGUAUUUGCCUUACCAGUUAUGUAUUUGUGCCAUAGAGCAAAAUAGUAAGUUUCGGCAAUUGACAAGUAUGGAUAUUUGGCAUGCUUUUGAUAGGAAUGUUAUGAUGUUAGUCCAACCACAGGAAAGUUAUGAAGUGCUUAUUAAAAUGCUAUUAUUUAUUUUUAUUUUUUGAGACAUUAUUAAAAGUCUAUUAUGUGUAGGAUUAUUGUGUAGGAAAUGCUUCUUUUAUGGUAAAGCUUCUACAAUUCUGCAAAAGUCUGUUGUUUAAAUAACCAUAAGUGAAACAUGUUGUGUGGUAGACAAUUCAUUCACCAUUCAACUUAUGGGUUUUGAAAAAUCAUGAGCCAUAAUAAAGUAAAAUAAAAAUUAACUUCUAGUUCAUAAUACAUUAUACUGAUAAUUACAUUAUCUUUUUUAUGUACUUUUGUUAGGAAAAAUGCCUAUUAGUGUUGGAGUUUCUCUAACCCAUGGAUUGGGUGUCUUCGAAAACAAAAAUACUGAUAAUUACAUGACACAUAUAUAUUCAUGUACAAUGAAAUUAGAGAGAGAACAAAAUCAGAUAGAGAAAGAAGUAGAGAGAUAAUUGUAAACUUCUAUUGAAUUCACUAGGUUAAAAAAAGGAGAAUUGCCCAGCAACUCUCUCCCUAGCAACAAAAAUCCAAUAAGUAACAAGAAGGUAAACUUGUCUCCCUAAAAAAAGUAAUAACAAUAGAGGCUAAUCAAUGGGGAAAAUUGCAUGUCAUGAAAAAGUUGAAGAAAGGACAAAUACACCAGAACUAUGAAAUUAUCUUCAAAUGCUAUAUGGAAUUAAUGGGUGUAAUUUUUGUUUUGUUGAUGGCUUUUGGCAUGGACAAGUGGAUCUUUCAUUUUUGUGUACGGAGGAUAAUUUACACUUUUGAAUAAUCCUGUUUUUUUGUCAUCCUCUGCUUUUUGUGGGAAUUUGGAUGAAUCGCACAUAUAACUUUUGGCGGGGUACAUAAUACUUUUGACAUCGAACAAAUAAUUAUUGCUGUGGUAUAUAGAUUACCGUUUAUCGUGGUACAGAUUACCAUGUUGAUUUGUACCAUGUCAAAUGGCCAUUUCGGAUGGUAGUAAAUAUAUUUUUGUGGACGGAGGGCAUGAUUUUUGUAUGCUUAUUUUUUCUGUAUGAAAUUAUUAUUUUCUGUUAGAAUAUACUUGGUUUGUAUAGAAUUUGAUAUUAAAAGUUAUUCUUUUUUUGGA